GAUGAUAAAAUGGCAAGGACUAUGUGGAACCAAACAGCAACUACUGGCUGUCUUCUUGUAGAAAACACUUGCACUGCUCAAGCAUCUCUAUUCUUCCCUUGUCUUCAUGCCCCCUAAGGGAAAAGGAGAGAGGAGUAGACCGUCCUUGUAGUAACUUCUUGUACUGCAGCUGAACCUGUCAGAAGAGGUCUGCAAACCAUUAGGAACCCCAAGAAGAGACUGCAGAGCCCUUCAAAACUGCUGGCAUGCCUAGGAAGGGCACCUUAUGGAGAGUUCCCUUCUCUGCACUUCAGGAAUUAAUACAACAUGUAUCUUUGAAGUAACACCAACCCUCUUUCGAUCAUCUUUCCCAGGUGGAGGGAGGAGAUAGAAGUCUCAAAACUACAGGCCUAUGUAAAUUCUGCAGCACCAGAAAGAACGUGGCACAGCCCCUGUUCUGGGACAGAAGGACGGACGUCCGAGGGACAUGGGCAUCUCUUCUCAGCUUGGCCACGGUCCAUAUGAUGGAGCAAUGUAGCCAAGCUGUGGGUUGACUGAGGCUUGCAUCACUGCCCUGACCCAGAUUGCAUCUGCAGUCAUCUGGAACUGACUACACGCCUGAACUGAUAAAAGAGGCUGUGGAAAUACGGAUCUCUGGGGCCUUGGUAAGGUAUCCUCGUAUGUGUCUGCAUGUUGAUGUGUGAGUACACUCAAAAUGCCUGUCUGUUCCAUCAGCUCAGCCGACUGGGUGCUCCUUUGGGAUUUGCAGCAGUUUACAGCAAAUGGGUACAGACCUGCAAAGCUCAUGAGAAUACUGGGAUUAACCCUGGAAAGGGGAAUAUGCCUGUUGCUCAGGAAUGUGUGAUGCCCAUAAGCAAGAGAUGUAAACCCCCUCACUUGACCUUUGUAUAAUUCUUUCCCUUCCAGUGAGUCCCUUUCCCUGCCUGUGACUCAUCUUCUUCUAAAUGUAGACUGUAAGUCUCUCAGAGGACUGCCUUUCUCUCCAAGCAGGGUAGCAUAAAAAAUAGCAACA